GCAAGUCGAACGGUAACAGGAAGCAGCUUGCUGCUUUGCUGACGAGUGGCGGACGGGUGAGUAAUGUCUGGGAAACUGCCUGAUGGAGGGGGAUAACUACUGGAAACGGUGGCUAAUACCGCAUAACGUCGCAAGACCAAAGAGGGGGACCUUCGGGCCUCUUGCCAUCAGAUGUGCCCAGAUGGGAUUAGCUUGUUGGUGAGGUAACGGCUCACCAAGGCGACGAUCCCUAGCUGGUCUGAGAGGAUGACCAGCCACACUGGAACUGAGACACGGUCCAGACUCCUACGGGAGGCAGCAGUGGGGAAUAUUGCACAAUGGGCGCAAGCCUGAUGCAGCCAUGCCGCGUGUAUGAAGAAGGCCUUCGGGUUGUAAAGUACUUUCAGCGGGGAGGAAGGUGUUGUGGUUAAUAACCACAGCAAUUGACGUUACCCGCAGAAGAAGCACCGGCUAACUCCGUGCCAGCAGCCGCGGUAAUACGGAGGGUGCAAGCGUUAAUCGGAAUUACUGGGCGUAAAGCGCACGCAGGCGGUCUGUCAAGUCGGAUGUGAAAUCCCCGGGCUCAACCUGGGAACUGCAUUCGAAACUGGCAGGCUUGAGUCUUGUAGAGGGGGGUAGAAUUCCAGGUGUAGCGGUGAAAUGCGUAGAGAUCUGGAGGAAUACCGGUGGCGAAGGCGGCCCCCUGGACAAAGACUGACGCUCAGGUGCGAAAGCGUGGGGAGCAAACAGGAUUAGAUACCCUGGUAGUCCACGCCGUAAACGAUGUCUACUUGGAGGUUGUGCCCUUGAGGCGUGGCUUCCGGAGCUAACGCGUUAAGUAGACCGCCUGGGGAGUACGGCCGCAAGGUUAAAACUCAAAUGAAUUGACGGGGGCCCGCACAAGCGGUGGAGCAUGUGGUUUAAUUCGAUGCAACGCGAAGAACCUUACCUGGUCUUGACAUCCACAGAACUUUCCAGAGAUGGAUUGGUGCCUUCGGGAACUGUGAGACAGGUGCUGCAUGGCUGUCGUCAGCUCGUGUUGUGAAAUGUUGGGUUAAGUCCCGCAACGAGCGCAACCCUUAUCCUUUGUUGCCAGCGAUUAGGUCGGGAACUCAAAGGAGACUGCCAGUGAUAAACUGGAGGAAGGUGGGGAUGACGUCAAGUCAUCAUGGCCCUUACGACCAGGGCUACACACGUGCUACAAUGGCGCAUACAAAGAGAAGCGACCUCGCGAGAGCAAGCGGACCUCAUAAAGUGCGUCGUAGUCCGGAUUGGAGUCUGCAACUCGACUCCAUGAAGUCGGAAUCGCUAGUAAUCGUGGAUCAGAAUGCCACGGUGAAUACGUUCCCGGGCCUUGUACACACCGCCCGUCACACCAUGGGAGUGGGUUGCAAAAGAAGUAGGUAGCUUAACCUUCGGGAGGGCGCUUACCACUUUGUGAUUCAUGACUGGGGUGAAGUCGUAACAAGGUAACCGUAGGGGAACCUGCGGUUGGAUCACCUCCUUACCUUAAAGAAGC
rnacentral:rRNA from 1 species